GAUGAACGCUGGCGGCGUGCCUAAUACAUGCCAGUCGAGCGAACAGAUGAGGAGCUUGCUCCUCUGACGUUAGCGGCGGACGGGUGAGUAACACGUGGAUAACCUACCUAUAAGACUGGGAUAACUUCGGGAAACCGGAGCUAAUACCGGAUAAUAUAUUGAACCGCAUGGUUCAAUAGUGAAAGACGGUUUUGCUGGCACUUAUAGAUGGAUCCGCGCCGCAUUAGGUAGUUGGUAAGGUAACGGCUUACCAAGGCAACGAUGCGUAGCCGACCUGAGAGGGUGAUCGGCCACACUGGAACUGGAACACGGUCCAGACUCCUACGGGAGGCAGCAGUAGGGAAUCUUCCGCAAUGGGCGAAAGCCUGACGGAGCAACGCCGCGUGAGUGAUGAAGGUCUUCGGAUCGUAAAACUCUGUUAUUAGGGAAGAACAAAUGUGUAAGUAACUAUGCACGUCUUGACGGUACCUAAUCAGAAAGCCACGGCUAACUACGUG
rnacentral:rRNA from 1 species